GUAUAUAUAUAUUGAUAAUUGAUGAAUUUAUUUGAUGGAUUUAUCGAAGUAUGAUGUCUACUAAAGAUAAGGUUACCAUUUUAAAGCUAACUCAUACGAAGAUAUUUUAUCAUAGCAUGUGAUGAUGAAUAUGAUUGGUGUUACAACAUCUAACUUUGUAAAGAGCACAAUUAAUUAAAAAUACACAUAGACAGAAAAACUAGAGGGGG
rnacentral:lncRNA from 1 species